rnacentral:rRNA from 1 species
GACAGAGGUGCCAAGCGUUAGGCGGAAUCACUGGGCUUAAAGCGUGUGUAGGCGGAAUGGUAAGUACCUUGUGAAAUCCCACGGCUCAACCGUGGAACUGCUGGGUAUACUGCUUUUCUUGAGCCACUUAGGGGCUGUCGGAACAAACGGUGGAGCGGUGAAAUGCGUAGAUAUCGAGAGGAACACCUGCGGCGAAGGCGGGUUGCUGGGCUGACACUGACGCUGAGGCGCGAAAGCGUGGGGAGCAAACAGG